CUAGUUAAAUACUCCAUAUGAAUUGAGGCUCUUCAGUGCCCAUGUUAUUGUCUUACUUAAUUCCCCUGUAUUCACCUUGAUUUUAUUACGCUUCAAGUCCUGUCAGUUGAACUUGGAUUUCAAUAUCCACCCUGAGGGGGUUUUUCCUUGACUGGCUGUGCAUGAAGCUAGGAGUAAUCUAGAGAGACGAUCUUGUCCUAAUUCCCCUGAAGAAGCCAAGAGGCGAAACUAGUAAGGUCGACCUGAUCGAAAAAAUUAUUUCUAGAUCUUGCUCCCACAAAAUAAUUUAUGCACUAUCUGUAUAUUGAAUUACUAUAUUUUGUAAAAAUUGAAUGAAUAAACCUUUUUUAUAUAUUUUUAUAUAUACAUA